rnacentral:rRNA from 1 species
AUUGAACGCUGGCGGCAUGCUUUACACAUGCAAGUCGAACGGCAGCGCGGGCUUCGGCCUGGCGGCGAGUGGCGAACGGGUGAGUAAUGCAUCGGAACGUGCCCUGUAGUGGGGGAUAGCCCGGCGAAAGCCGGAUUAAUACCGCAUACGACCUGAGGGUGAAAGCGGGGGACCGAAAGUGCUCGCGCUUUUGGAGCGGCCGAUGUCGGAUUAGCUAGUUGGUGGGGUAAAGGCUUACCAAGGCGACGAUCCGUAGCUGGUCUGAGAGGACGACCAGCCACACUGGGACUGAGACACGGCCCAGACUCCUACGGGAGGCAGCAGUGGGGAAUUUUGGACAAUGGGGGCAACCCUGAUCCAGCCAUGCCGCGUGCGGGAAGAAGGCCUUCGGGUUGUAAAACGCUUUUGUUCGGGAAGAAAUACUCUGGGCUAAUACCCCGGGGGGAUGACGGUACCGGAAGAAUAAGCACCGGCUAACUACGUG